UUUGAGAAUCCAGAGAAAUGGGGAAGUACUGGGAAAUGCGGAGAGCUGAAAAUGGGGGAAAUGGAGUAGAUAAACCUACUAUGGCUACACUUAAUAUCGGCUUAUUAUCUUGCAGGAACUUAUUUAUGUGAUAAAUUCACAUGUGAAUUGAGGAUGUGUACCUAAGGCCUACAAAAUCUCAUAUUAUUGGAUUUUAAAAUCAAGGUACCAGGGAAGAACCAAGCUUGGCUUUUCAGUGACUAUCACAUAGGAGCCGUUUUCCUAUACAGGAGGCAGCCAUGUUGCCCAGCUGGAAAUGCAUGAUCCUGAAGCCCCACUUCCGCAAGGAUUGGCGGCAGCGAGUGGACACUUAGUUCAGUCAACCAGCACGCAAGAUCCGCAGACACAAGGCCAGGCAAGCAAAAGCGAACUGCAUUGCCCCUCAUCCCGCAUCCAGUCCCUUCAGGCCCAUCAUGAGUUGCCCUACAGUUAGAUACCCCACCAAGCUCUGGGCUGGCAGGGGCUUCCGCCUGGAGGAACUCAGGGUGGCUGGUAUCCACAAGAAAAUGG
rnacentral:sRNA from 1 species